CAUCCAGUAAACAGUGUAAGCGGGUGUUGUUGUAGCGCGCAUGCGCCUUCCCCUGUUUGUUUUUUUUGUUUGGGUUCCCACGCUCUGGGAGGUUGUCAUUCAAAGGCCAGACCGGUUACUGCCUCUGUUCGCCUAACAAUAAACGGAGAUCUGCCGUCUUUCUCCAAGGAAUAUUCAGUCUCUGCAUCUUUCUCAACUCACCACGCUACAUUGGUGGCAGCGGUGCUGCGACUGGACUCACUUUUCUGCUUAUUUUGAUGGAGACUAUUUGUUCGGACAAUAUGUUUGGAGGCCCUAAGGACGAGGACGACUAUGGGAAGUACAGAGCUACAUGGACUGAGGAAGUCUGUAACGUGAAAGUGGACCUUCCCGCUCCGUUUUGUGGAGAUGGAUGUAAGCUAUUCGCCACUUGGAUAAAGCAGUUUGAGGCCGCCGUGCGCGCUUAGACCCGGGGCGGGAUGAGCCGGAGCUAUGCCGCUACCCUGGCUGCUGUUUUACCGACCAGGCUGGAUGGUGCUGCGUUCCUCCUGUGGGACAUCCUUCCCCCGUCCGUACAAUGUGACUUUGAGAGUGUUAAAGAGAAACUCAACGAGGCCUUUGGACAGAAGCAGUUUCUGUUGUAUUUUCAGACGUGUGUUUCGGCUCGUACCCGCCAAGCUAAUGAGAGUUUAGAGCUUUAUGCGGCGGACAUUUCAAGGCUGGUUGCUGAAGCGUUCCCAGAAUAUGACAUGGCGGCACUAAAUGGUGAGAAGUUUCGGCGGUUUCUGGCUGGACUGGACCCGGGUCUGCGUGCCAAGUGCCACGAGCAGGGAGCGAGUGAUUUGGAAGAAGCCCUCAUGAUAGCGGGGCGGUGUGAGCGGGCUAGAAUGGCUCUCGGUGUGGGCACACAGACUAGCCCUUAUUCCCCUGCGACCCCCCCCCCCCCCCCCCGCUACACAUACGGCUGUGGCCUGGACUACACGACGCUGGUAUGGCGGGCAAGCUUCUCAGUGCUGGGGAGAGUCUUACUGCUAGGAUGGAUAAACUGCAGACUGAUAUGGCGGAUCUCAGGGCAACGCGACAGGACUGCUACAGGCCGCGCGUGGACCGGCGUACUCUCUGCGCUUGUGAUUGUGGUGGAGUUGACUGCAGAUCUGCCUCCGAGGAGCCCGCUCUCCCCGUGACGGCCAGCGGAAUGCUGAGGAGUGGUCCCCCAGGUCAUCUACUUCUUCUGCAUCGCGUCGCGGGAACAGGAGUCCACAGAGGGGGCGUUUCUCCGGUGAAUCAUCGCAGUGGAGACGUGGCGUCCGAUUCCUGUCGCCAUCCCGGCGUUCACCUUCUCCUUCCCCGCUUGGACGGAACCAGGGAAACUUCCAGUAACUGAUGCUGAGACCCGACCAUCAGUCACAUCUUCUCAGGGUCACGGAGGACACCUCACAGCUGUGGUAGAUACUCCUACUGUGGACUACUGCGCUGCUGGUGCCCCUGGAUCCUGUUCUGUUAUGUGAUGACCCUCUGGGCCGCACCCCCUCAUCACCAGAGAGGGAGGAUGUGACUGAUGGGUCUGGUUCAGAGUGAAAGUAGCAGUUCCUCCUGAAGGUCAGAGAUUGCAGCAUCUGAGGGCCUCUUCAAAAGAAGACGUAGUUGAUGAAGGCGUUCUGGAGCAGGACCAGAAAGACCACGACCAAGCAGCCUUGAGAUCUUAGGCAGCGUCUCCCUCAGACCAAAGAACUACAGACUCUUCACAACCUGCUCAAACUCUUGGUACAGGACCUCACCACAUGGGUCAAGAAGGUUUCUGUCUCAUUUCUACUCUGAAGCUCACCUUCUCCUGCUCAAACUGCUGACAAAUGUUUCUGCUGCUCUAAAGUCUGGUCUCCAGAACUUCCUAAAAACUCUCAAAGUCUCUUCUGCUGCAGGUUGCUUUGUAGAACUGUUCCAGAAAACCUCACUAAACCACAUGGAGGAGCCUCAAGAUAGUCGUCCAAAUGAAACCAUACAAAAACCAAACUAGUACAACCCAAACGCUAAAGUCUCCUGCAGCCUACCAGAGAACCUCUGAGAACAGAGAAUCAGGACAGGAACUCUUACCUUCUGGACAACCAACGUUGGUUCACAAGAAUACAGAAUGUGUCUGACCAAAAACCUCUAAAGACUCACUACAGCCAAGAUAAAGACACAACUCAGCUGCAACAAAUCCACUAAUCACUGCACACAGUAGCACCAUGUGGUAACUGUGGCUAAAGAACCACAUUUACCAAGACAACUAUCCAGUACAAAGUCCUAAAACACACCAAGAAACACAUUAAAGACGAUUUUACUGCUGGAAGCUGCAAGCCAACGCCUAAAGAACAAACUAAAGCAAUGGAGCCAAACCCAGUUCACUUGUGAAGAGAAACAGAGGAAAUGUUUGUCUGCAGCUAAAUAAAGCAGGAAGACACUGAGCUGCUCAGGUGUUCCUGAUAACACCAAGCAGCCACCUGGACAGCCAAUAGGAACACAGCUUCCUGGAAGUCCAGAGGGCUGGCUUAGUCAAGGAAAUUUACUUUAAAGUUGAAGCAGAAAGUUAACAAAGAAAGUUGAAAACCACCUUCUGAUCCCUGAAAUCUCUGAGUUUUCACACAAAGAACACCUGAACAUGUCAAACUGGUUCCAUAGUAGAACCAUCAUUGUAAAAACAUCAUAGUAUGGUGUGUUGCUCCAAAAACAUUAGGACCCGGCUGUCUCGGGUCAUCGAGGAGCAACACAAAAACAGGACAAACGCUGGUUUCCAGGGGGUUAGGAGGAUAUUUAUUUGAAAGAGGAAGUUUACAACAACACAACAUGUGAGCAGAAAAAUCACAAAGUCUGUCUUUAGUUCAGCUGAAAAUAUUAGUUUUUGUCUUUUUUAUUGACCAAACUUUUCAGGAAGUAGAUGAAGAAUAAUUAAAGCUCUCAUGUAGAAGUCCAACUUAUUUUGGAUCCUUGUGGAGAGUUUAAUCUUAGAGUUUGUAAAGCUGUUGAGUUUUUAGAGUCACAUGGAUUGUUUUGACAUUUAAUAACCGAGUCCUGAAAUAAAAUUACAGUUGUG